UCACUAAACCUAAAGGCGUAAUGAAAGUGAAGAUCCGCCUAGCGCGGAUUCAGGGAAGAUGGGCGGUUCGCCUUUAAAAAGCGGCCGCUCCGCACUCCCGAGGCGUCUCGUUCUCAUUACGAGAAGAGGCGCACCAAGAGCGUACACGCUGGGACCCGAAAGAUGGUGAACUAUGCCUGGUCAGGACGAAGUCAGGGGAAACCCUGAUGGAGGUCCGUAGCGAUUCUGACGUGCAAAUCGAUCGUCGGAACUGGGUAUAGGGGCGAAAGACUAAUCGAACCAUCUAGUAGCUGGUUCCCUCCGAAGUUUCCCUCAGAUAGCUGGCGCUCGUCUGUGACGAGUUCAUCCGGUAAAGCGAUGAUUAAGGCAUGGGUCGAACGACCUCACUAUCUCAAACUUUAAUGGGAAUCUCGCUCGUCACA
rnacentral:rRNA from 1 species